rnacentral:lncRNA from 13 species
GUUUUUUUAGCUACAUCUGCCCCUGCAUUCUCUGUAAAGUCUUCCAGGAAUAUUCUAAAUGCAGAGGACAACCAUGAUUGCCAGCCACAUUAGAGAUACAUCCUUGGACCCUGUCUAAUAGCUUAAAGCACAGAUGACUCUCGGUGUGCUCCAAGCUCAUAUACCAGCAAGCCAGACACUCAGCUUGGAAGAAACUACCAGAGGACUCAACCCAAGGUCAGCCCACCACAGGCUUGUCCCAGUCCCAGGCUUGUGCCACUACCCAACCACCCUGCCCAGUGCAUGUACAAGAUGUGCUAAGAAGGAAGCAGAUAUGGGGCAAGAAAUGUUUUUUCUGGGGCAGUUAUAUCAGAUUCAGAGCAGCAUCCUUGCACAAAGCUUUGAACCUAAUUUCAUGGACUCAGCAGCAAAGUUUGCACUGGUAAAGAGAGCGCAAAACGGACAGACUAUGAAGAUCCCUGGCUUGGCAGGACAGGCAUGGAACAAAGUGGAAAAACAAAGGGUACCAGUGUGACUAGGGUGGGAAAAAACAGUGGAGAAUCACCAAAGUGCUACUUGAAACCAACAUACAGAGUGAACCAAAAUUUCACACUUGUAAAUAUUUAUAAGAUAGGAUUUCCCAUUAUAUGUUCAGCAUUGAAUGGUGCAUGUUGUUCUUAUUAAUGUUUCAUAAACAUUUGUACAGAAAACAAUAUGCUUAACUUUUCUUCUAAGUAUUAAGUAGAAUUAUAGCAGCAUCUGCUUUCAACAGUUGAGUGCACAAGCUAUUCAUGCCCUGUCGUAAAUUCCAUGAUGCAUUAAGAUGCCAUUAAAUGUACCUUCUGUGGUUGUCUGCUCAUUUACAUACCUUGUAAAUCAUCGUGUAAAAAUCAAGUGAACUAGGGAGUAAUCACCUGCACUCUUCCCUUCUGCCAGACAAAAUCCAGAGCCAUCCACAUCUUCCUCCAUCAGGAUCAUCACCAUUAAACAUAGAAUCAAUUAUGUCAAUGAUAAGAAACUUAAUUGCUAAAGGCAAUUUGAGCUAUGUUUUUUUUAACAAGUCCAUUUUCCAUAAAAAAAUUUGAAAGCCAAGCAGGAUAGGCAAGCCAGGAUACAUAAACAUAGUUGGUGGGCCCUUUCUCCUCAAGGAUCCUCAGCUGGGAGUCUUACGUAAAAUAAAUAAACAAAUAAACAAAUAAAAAACCCUUGAGAAAUAAAAUAGAAGCCUGUCUCUUAAUGGUCUUUCCUCCUCACACACAAUCUUUAGCAUGAUUUCUAUACUGCCUCUGUACUUGAGCAAAACAGAAGAAUAUCUCAGCUUUUGCUGAACUAGAACAUACUGGAGAAGAACAUUUCUUUUUUUAUUAUUAUUUUUUUAUUUCAU